AGAUCCUUCCCCGCCACCGCCCCGGCCCGAUGCCCCUUACAUGAUGCCCAGCACCCGGAGGAGCAGGGCCCCAUCGCUGAGGCGCAGGAAUCUCUUCUCCAACCAAAGGGGCGGCUCUUCCUCCUCUUCCUCUUCUUCCCCCUCCGAGUCCUCCGCCUCCCCGACCAGCCCGGCCAGUCCCAGCGCCUGUGAGGAGCCCAGAGGGGUCAGCCGACCAGCAGAGUGAACCCUGAGCCCCUCCGACCUGCCCCACAUCUCUGCAGGGCUAGCCCAGAGGUUGGCGGCGGAAGGCCCACAGCUCCCCUGGCUCCAUGGGCAAUGACCGAACAGCCCUUCACCUCUCUGGGCCUUGUUUUCUCAAACUGAAACUGGAGAGGAUGACCCCAGCCUGGGACCUUCGAGGGCCUCAAAAGGGCUCUGGGCCUUGCGUGGCUGGACGAUGAAUGUGAUGGCUGGAACUCAAGCAGCCACAGUGGAUCAUAAGGGACGGUGUCUUGCUAUGUUGUCCAAGCUGGUCUCAAACUGGCCUGAAUCAAUGCUUCCACCUCAGCUGCCAGAGGAACCGGGAUUACAGGCCUGAGCCACUGCAGCCAGCCAGUUUGUUAUUUUAAUGUAAAUUCUUAGUAAACAACUCAGGAGCUCUCUUGUCCUUUUAAAAUCCAUUUCAACUUCUGCUAAUCGGAGUGUAUAUUCAGGGCAACUUGAAUCUGUGCUCCUGGGAUGCAAUCCUCAAGCUUGGCCCAAAUAAAGUCUCCGCUGAUAUUAA
rnacentral:lncRNA from 1 species